GACGAACGCUGGCGGCGUGCUUAACACAUGCAAGUCGAACGGAAAGGCCCUGCUUUUGUGGGGUGCUCGAGUGGCGAACGGGUGAGUAACACGUGAGUAACCUGCCCUUGACUUUGGGAUAACUUCAGGAAACUGGGGCUCAUACCGGAUAGGAGCUCCUGCUGCAUGGUGUGGGUUGGAAAGUUUCGGCGGUUGGGGCUGGUCUGGCGGCUUAUCGGCUUGUUGGUGUGGUAGUGGCUUACCAAGGCUUUGACGGGUAGCCGGCCUGGGAGGGUGACCGGCGUCCAGACGACUACGGGACGGCGCAGUAGGCUAUCGGACGCAGCAGUGGGGAAUAUUGCGGAAUGGGGGGAAGUCUGAGACAGCAACGCCGCGUGCGUGAUGACGGGUUACGGGGUGUAAACCGCUGUCGCCUGUGAUGAAGCGUGAGUGACGGUAAUGGGUAAAGAAGCAACGGCUAACUACGUG
rnacentral:rRNA from 1 species